GUCUUGCUUGUCGGCGGAGUUGUCGAGGUCUCCGUUUGCCGGAACCACCUUCCGGCGUAGCUUUGUGGAAUGCAUUUUGGAGAAAGGAUUAUUGGAGGAUAUGACAGAUGACCUAGGACGAGCAGGAUUGAGUAGCCGUUAUUUAAACAAGAGAGGAGAAGGGAAGUUUCAGGUUGGUUUGACUAAUUUGACGUCGUGAAAAGCGCGGGUUAUUUUGGUAAUUCCAACAUAAAGAAUGUUUGACCCUUCCAUUGGGC
rnacentral:misc_RNA from 1 species